GUUGGGUCUCCCACUUUUUGAGUUGAGAAUGAAUGUGUUCUUGGCGGGCAAAGGUGAGGAGAUCAGAGGAGGCCAACUUAUUAAACAGCACUUGAAAGGCGGCAGAAAGAAGGAGCUCUCCAACAACCUCCAUGGUUGGUCUGAACUUUGAAGGGAAAAUGCAGAGAGAGAGAGGGAGAGAGGGAUGAGAAGGAAGUGAAGAAGAAACAGAUAGGUUGCCAAUCAAUUAUGAAUUUCAGCUGUACUUUGGGCUCAUGCAUCGUCUCUUUUGGUUGUCGUAACGUACAAAAUAAUAGGGUAGGAAUCAAAUUAAAGUUUUGUGA